rnacentral:lncRNA from 1 species
CUUCUUUGCCAUCAUGCUGGAAAGAUUAAACUAAAUCGUCCUGAUAUGUGGGUGAUGACGUAGCAUAUGAUUCCCGAUGUGUCAAUGAUUGGAUAUUAUCAGAAAGAAUUCGAAGUACAUGCCACAUCAUCACCAAUAUGCCACGUCACCUAUGGGUCUUGAUGUGCCACUCGAUGAUUAGAUACUUUCGAAAAAAAUUCCACAUCAGAUACUAAUUAUUGAGAAAAAUACCUCGAAUUCGAUCUAAGCACAAAGAGGAGCCCGUAGCCACGUUCACAGCACAAAAUAGCCC